rnacentral:rRNA from 1 species
GGGGAAUAUUGGACAAUGGGCGAAAGCCUGAUCCAGCAAUGCCGCGUGAGUGAUGAAGGCCUUAGGGUUGUAAAGCUCUUUUACUGGGGAUGAUAAUGACAGUACCCAGAGAAUAAGCCCCGGCUAACUCCGUGCCAGCAGCCGCGGUAAUACGGAGGGGGCUAGCGUUGUUCGGAAAUACUGGGCGUAAAGCGCACGUAGGCGGCUCAGCAAGUCAGGGGUGAAAUCCCGGGGCUCAACCCCGGAACUGCCCUUGAAACUGCUAGGCUAGAAUCUUGGAGAGGCGAGUGGAAUUCCGAGUGUAGAGGUGAAAUUCGUAGAUAUUCGGAAGAACACCAGUGGCGAAGGCGACUCGCUGGACAAGUAUUGACGCUGAGGUGCGAAAGCGUGGGGAGCAAAC